AUUGAACGCUGGCGGCAUGCCUUACACAUGCAAGUCGAACGGUAACGGGCCUUCGGGUGCCGACGAGUGGCGAACGGGGGAGUAAUACAUCGGAACGUGCCCGAUCGUGGGGGAUAACGAGGCGAAAGCUUUGCUAAUACCGCAUACGAUCUACGGAUGAAAGCAGGGGACCGCAAGGCCUUGCGCGGACGGAGCGGACGAUGGCAGAUUAGGGAGUUGGUGGGGUAAAAGCUUACCAAGCCGACGAUCUGUAGCUGGUCUGAGAGGAUGAUCAGCCACACUGGGACUGAGACACGGCCCAGACUCCUACGGUAGGCAGCAGUGGGGAAUUUUGGACAAUGGGCGCAAGCCUGAUCCAGCCAUGCCGCGUGCAGGAUGAAGGCCUUCGGGUUGUAAACUGCUUUUGUACGGAACGAAAAGCCUUCUUUUAAUACAGGAGGGUCAUGACGGUACCGUAAGAAUAAGCACCGGCUAACUACGUG
rnacentral:rRNA from 1 species